rnacentral:lncRNA from 1 species
UCAGAUGAAGGUAAUGAAACAGAGGUGCAGCCACAGCAAAAUAGCCAGUUAAUGUGGAAACAAGGCCGGCAGCUACUCAGGCAGUAUCUCCAGGAGGUCGGCUACACAGAUACUAUUCUAGACGUGAAAUCCAAGCGUGUGCGGGCAUUGUUGGGCUUUUCAAGCGAUGUCACUGACAGGGAGGAUGACAAAAACCAGGACUCAGUGAUAAAUGGCACAGAGGCUGAAGUUAAAGAGACAGCAA